rnacentral:rRNA from 1 species
GCUCAGGAUGAACGCUAGCUACAGGCUUAACACAUGCAAGUCGAGGGGUAGCAGGGUAGCAAUACCGCUGACGACCGGCGCACGGGUGAGUAACACGUAUCCAACCUUCCCAUAACUCGGGGAUAGCCUUUCGAAAGAAAGAUUAAUACCCGAUAGUACUUAUAUAAGGCAUCUUAAAUAAGUUAAAGAUUUAUUGGUUAUGGAUGGGGAUGCGUUCCAUUAGAUAGUUGGUGAGGUAACGGCUCACCAAGUCUUCGAUGGAUAGGGGUUCUGAGAGGAAGGUCCCCCACAUUGGUACUGAGACACGGACCAAACUCCUACGGGAGGCAGCAGUGAGGAAUAUUGGUCAAUGGGCGAGAGCCUGAACCA